AAUCAACGCUGGCGGCGUGCCUAACACAUGCAAGUCGAGCGAGAAAGGGGCUUCGGCCCUGAGUAAAGCGGCGCACGGGUGAGUAACACGUGGGUAAUCUGCCCUAGAGUGGGGAAUAACAUCGGGAAACCGAUGCUAAUACCGCAUACGAUCACGAAGUCUUCGGAUUUUGUGAUGAAAGGAGAAAUCCGCUCUUGGAGGAGCCCGCGGCUGAUUAGCCUUAGNGGUAAGGUAACGGCUUACCAAGGCUACGAUCAGUAUCCGGUCUGAGAGGACGGUCGGACACACUGGAACUGAGACACGGCCCAGACUCCUACGGGAGGCA
rnacentral:rRNA from 1 species